GCACCUGGUGGCGAGUGGCGAACGGGUGAGUAAUAUAUCGGAACAUGUCCGGAAGUGGGGGAUAACGUAGCGAAAGUUACGCUAAUACCGCAUAUGCCCUGAGGGGGAAAGGGGGGGAUCGCAAGACCUCUCGCUUUCGGAGUGGCCGAUAUCGGAUUAGCUAGUAGGUGAGGUAAAGGCUCACCUAGGCGACGAUCCGUAGCGGGUCUGAGAGGACGACCCGCCACACUGGAACUGAGACACGGUCCAGACUCCUACGGGAGGCAGCAGUGGGGAAUUUUGGACAAUGGGCGCAAGCCUGAUCCAGCCAUACCGCGUGAGUGAAGAAGGCCUUCGGGUUGUAAAGCUCUUUCAGCCGGAAAGAAAUCGCGUUUAUUAAUACUAAGCGUGGAUGACGGUACCGGAAGAAGAAGCACCGGCUAACUACGUGCCAGCAGCCGCGGUAAUACGUAGGGUGCGAGCGUUAAUCGGAAUUACUGGGCGUAAAGCGUGCGCAGGCCGUUUUGUAAGACAGAUGUGAAAUCCCCGGGCUCAACCUGGGAACUGCAUUUGUGACUGCAAGACUAGAGUGUAGCAGAGGGGGGUAGAAUUCCACGUGUAGCAGUGAAAUGCGUAGAGAUGUGGAGGAAUACCGAUGGCGAAGGCAGCCCCCUGGGCUAACACUGACGCUCAUGCACGAAAGCGUGGGGAGCAAACAGGAUUAGAUACCCUGGUAGUCCACGCCCUAAACGAUGUCGACUAGGUGUUGGGGAAGGAGACUUCUUUAGUACCGCAGCUAACGCGUGAAGUUGACCGCCUGGGGAGUACGGUCGCAAGAUUAAAACUCAAAGGAAUUGACGGGGACCCGCACAGCGGUGGAUUAUGUGGAUUAAUUCGAUGCAACGCGAAAAACCUUACCCU
rnacentral:rRNA from 1 species